UACGUAGGGGGCUAGCGUUGUUCGGAUUUACUGGGCGUAAAGCGCACGUAGGCGGAUCGAUCAGUCAGGGGUGAAAUCCCAGGGCUCAACCCUGGAACUGCCUUUGAUACUGUCGAUCUGGAGUAUGGAGGAGGUGAGUGGAAUUCCGAGUGUAGAGGUGAAAUUCGUAGAUAUUCGGAGGAACACCAGUGGCGAAGGCGGCUCACUGGUCCAUUACUGACGCUGAGGUGCGAAAGCGUGGGGAGCAAACAGG
rnacentral:rRNA from 1 species